AAUGAAUCAGGGGAUGAGGCAUUGGGAUUUGUCUUCUCAAUCACCAAAGAAAGCAACUUUGCAAAAACCUCGAAGGAUCAACGGAAAAGGAAGAGUUCACCAUCACAAGAAAAGGCAUUAGGUUCCGUCUCAAACUCCAAAGAAAGAACCUCCCCGAAAACCUCUAAAGAACAACGUAAAAGAAAGAACUUGCCAUCACAAGAAGAGGCAUUAGGUUCUGUCUCAAACACCAAAGAAAGAACCUCCCCCAAAACCUCUAAAGAACAACGCGAAAGGAAGAACUUGCCAUCACAAGAAGAGGCAUUAGGUUCUGUCUCAAACACCAAAGAAAGAACCUCCCCCAAAACCUCUAAAGAACAACGCGAAAGG
rnacentral:misc_RNA from 1 species